rnacentral:rRNA from 1 species
UGCGAACUCCUACGGGAGGCAGCAGUGAGGAAUAUUGGUCAAUGGGCGGAAGCCUGAACCAGCCAAGUAGCGUGCAGGAUGACGGCCCUAUGGGUUGUAAACUGCUUUUAUGCGGGGAUAACCGGGGCCACGCGUGGCCCCCUGCAGGUACCGCAUGAAUAAGGACCGGCUAAUUCCGUGCCAGCAGCCGCGGUAAUACGGAAGGUCCGGGCGUUAUCCGGAUUCAUUGGGUUUAAAGGGAGCGUAGGCCGUGGAUUAAGCGUGUUGUGAAAUGUAGGCGCUCAACGUCUGACUUGCAGCGCGAACUGGUCCACUUGAGUGUGCGCGACGCAGGCGGAAUUCGUGGUGUAGCGGUGAAAUGCUUAGAUAUCACGAGGAACCCCGAUUGCGAAGGCAGCUUGCGGGAGCACGACUGACGCUGAGGCUCGAAGGUGCGGGUAUCGAACAGGAUUAGAUACCCUUGUAGUCCU